UGCGCUGGUUAGGUUCCCGCUCAGGCGCCCGUUGGCGCUGAGGGGUGAAUAAACGGUCAGCCCAGGCCGGGCGGGGGCGGGCAGCGGCGGGCAGCGGCACCCGAAGGGGUCCCGGGGCGGGCACGGCGGCUGGAUGUGCGUUGGGCACUGGGACGCGCCUGACCGCCGGUGCCCGGCCGCGCCAGCCCCGCUGCUUCCCCUCAGAACUUGGAGAUCCGGCUCAAAAGAGGCGGCGGCGGGCUGCUGGCGGCGCGCGGUGAGCCCCUGCCCGCAGCCGCUCACUCCCUCGGCCGCAGUCCCGGAGAAUUCCAGAAGAACCUGUGGGAGUACUCUUACAUGAGGAAGAGAGGUGAAAACUUGCUGUGCUCAGACUGAUCCCUUCCAUACUAAUGGACAGCAAUGAGUUUUUAAAAGCUGGUGGAAAUCAGAGUUGCACAAAAAAAGCAGAAGCAGAACAUACAGAUCUUCACUGGUGCCGUGCCUCAACUACAUCAAAAUCUAUUUCAUUACAGUUGGGGAAUUAGCCAAUUAAAUUGUAUAAUGAAAACAUUAUGAGUCAUGUCAAGUGAAAAUACUGAGAAGGCCACAGGCAGGAGAACCACAUGAUGAGGUACAGAAACACAGGCAAUUUAGCAAAAUGCUGGAAUUCUCAAAUUUGAGAUAGUGGUAAGUGAUCUGACUGUUGCUCUAAAGCUGCCUCAUGUAGAGAGAGGAUUUUAUUUGUUUUAAGCAUUUAAUCAUGGACCCACUUCAAUGAAUGGUAAUCAUUUUGUCAUCUACCCAAGAGGUUGAACAGAAGCUACCCAUUUUUUUCAUUCAGGUAAAAGUGAUAGUCAAAGAUCAAAGUUAGGGAAAAGAAAAAUGGAUAGAAAGAUUUCUGCAAACUUUUAUGAGUCAUUUGAAAAGGUUUUCUGCCUAAAGCUAAGCUUCCCAGUAAACGUUGAAAAUAAACUUGUGUUCGAAUACUUAGAAAUAGAUUUAUUGAUCUUAUUGUAAAGCUGUUUCUUUAUUUUCACUCUGUAAUUUGAAGUGUAAUUAAUGUAACGCUAAUACAGACUUUUUAAAAUAGAGCUUUCUUUUGUUCAUAUAAAGGGGGUUUUCUUGGGUAACUUUUUUUUUCAGUAGCAUAAAAUUCCUUAUAUUCUCUUAACCCCAUUUUCUGUUUUCAAUAUAUUUUAGAUAUCACUCCGUAACUCUGCAAACUGAAUUUUAAAAAAGUAGAAGAAAUACUGCUAUGAUGUAAAUAUUUUCAAUAUUUUUCAGACACUGCAUCUUUGUGUUUAUUUUCCUCUCUUAAUGUAACAGUCAGAGAGUACAAAUAAACUAUUUAUGUGUUUCAAGCUAUUCCACAAUAUUUCCACUUCCUUUCAUAAUAGCAAUUACUCAAGUUCCAG
rnacentral:lncRNA from 1 species